GAUGAACGCUGGCGGCGUGCCUAAUACAUGCAAGUCGAACGAGGUGCUUUUGUAGCAAUACGGAGGUUCUUAGUGGCGAACGGGUGCGUAACGCGUUGGUGACCUGCCCUAAAGUGUGGGAUAACAGUCCGAAAGGACUGCUAAUACCGCAUGUGAUCAUCGGGUUUAGAAGCCGGUGAUUAAAGGAGUAAUUCGCUUUAGGAGGGACCUGCGUCCCAUCAGCUAGUUGGUGAGGUAACGGCCCACCAAGGCUACGACGGGUAGGGGACCUGAGAGGGUGGUCCCCCACACUGGCACUGAAACACGGGCCAGACACCUACGGGUGGCAG
rnacentral:rRNA from 1 species